rnacentral:rRNA from 1 species
GACGUAGGAUGCAAGCGUUGUCCGGAAUUAUUGGGCGUAAAGAGUUCGUAGGCGGUAUAUCAAGUCUGGUGUUAAAGACCGAGGCUCAACUUCGGAAGAGCACUGGAUACUGAUAAACUAGAGUGCAGGAGAGGCAAGGGGAAUUCCCAGUGUAGCGGUGAAAUGCGUAGAUAUUGGGAGGAACACCGGUGGCGUAAGCGCCUUGCUGGACUGUAACUGACGCUGAGGAACGAAAGCCAGGGGAGCGAAUGGG